CCUACGGGUGGCUGCAGUGGGGAAUAUUGGACAAUGGGGGGAACCCUGAUCCAGCCAUGCCGCGUGUGUGAAGAAGGCCCUCGGGUUGUAAAGCACUUUCAGUGAGGAAGAACGCCUGGUGGUUAAUACCCAUCAGGAAAGACAUCACUCACAGAAGAAGCACCGGCUAACUCCGUGCCAGCAGCCGCGGUAAUACGGAGGGUGCGAGCGUUAAUCGGAAUUACUGGGCGUAAAGCGCGCGUAGGUGGCUUGAUAAGCCGGUUGUGAAAGCCCCGGGCUCAACCUGGGAACGGCAUCCGGAACUGUCAAGCUAGAGUGCAGGAGAGGAAGGUAGAAUUCCCGGUGUAGCGGUGAAAUGCGUAGAGAUCGGGAGGAAUACCAGUGGCGAAGGCGGCCUUCUGGACUGACACUGACGCUGAGGUGCGAAAGCGUGGGUAGCAAACAGGAUUAGAUACCCCAGUAGUC
rnacentral:rRNA from 1 species